GACGAACGCUGGCGGCGUGCUUAACACAUGCAAGUCGAACGGAAAGGCCCUGCUUUUGUGGGGUGCUCGAGUGGCGAACGGGUGAGUAACACGUGAGUAACCUGCCCUUGACUUUGGGAUAACUUCAGGAAACUGGGGCUAAUACCGGAUAGGAGCUCCUGCUGCAUGGUGGGGGUUGGAAAGUUUCGGCGGUUGGGGAUGGACUCGCGGCUUAUCAGCUUGUUGGUGGGGUAGUGGCUUACCAAGGCUUUGACGGGUAGCCGGCCUGAGAGGGUGAACGGCCACAAUGGGCCUGAGAUACGCCGCAGACGCCUACGGGAGGCAGCGGGGGGGAAUAUUGCACAAUGGGCGGAAGCCUGAUGCAGCAACGCCGCGUGCGGGAUGCCGGCCUUCGUGUUGUAAACCGCUUUCGCCUGUGACGAAGCGUGAGUGACGGUAAUGGGUAAAGAAGCACCGGCUAACUACGUG
rnacentral:rRNA from 1 species